CUUUUGUAUACAAUUGAAUAAAUAAAAACAAGGUGAAAAGUUUCAGACUCUGCCAGAGAGUGUGCACUAUAAAUAAAUCGGCAAUCACAACAAUCAUUCUCUUGAAAUAUAUAAUUAGAAAACAAAAUCAUUGUUAGCUUAAAAAAUAACUAUUAAUAAUGACACAAUUAAUACUGAAUCAGAUAUUUAAUAAAACUCUGUACCAGUUUUAUAAUGAAAAAUAAU
rnacentral:lncRNA from 1 species